ACGGGAGGCAGCAGUGGGGAAUAUUGCACAAUGGGGGAAACCCUGAUGCAGCGACGCCGCGUGAGUGAUGAAGUACUUCGGUAUGUAAAGCUCUAUCAGCAGGGAAGAUAAUGACGGUACCUGACUAAGAAGCCCCGGCUAACUACGUGCCAGCAGCCGCGGUAAUACGUAGGGAGCGAGCGUUAUCCGGAUUUAUUGGGUGUAAAGGGUGCGUAGACGGGAAAUUAAGUUAGCUGUGAAAUCCCUCGGCUCAACCGAGGAACUGCAACUAAAACUGGUUUUCUUGAGUACUGGAGAGGAAAGUGGAAUUCCUAGUGUAGCGGUGAAAUGCGUUGAUAUUAGGAGGAACACCAGUGGCGAAGGCGACUUUCUGGACAGAAACUGACGUUGAGGCACGAAAGUGUGGGGAGCAAACAGGAUUAGAUACCCUGGUA
rnacentral:rRNA from 1 species